rnacentral:rRNA from 1 species
ACUACGGGCGGCAGCAGUAGGGAAUCUUCCACAAUGGGCGCAAGCCUGAUGGAGCAACGCCGCGUGAGUGAAGAAGGUUUUCGGCUCGUAAAGCUCUGUUGUUGGAGAAGAACGUGCGUGAGAGUAACUGUUCACGCAGUGACGGUAUCCAACCAGAAAGUCACGGCUAACUACGUGCCAGCAGCCGCGGUAAUACGUAGGUGGCAAGCGUUGUCCGGAUUUAUUGGGCGUAAAGCGAGCGCAGGCGGUUGUUUAGGUCUGAUGUGAAAGCCCUCGGCUUAACCGAAGAAGUGCAUCGGAAAUGGGGCAACUUGAGUGCAGAAGAGGACAGUGGAACUCCAUGUGUAGCGGUGGAAUGCGUAGAUAUAUGGAAGAACACCAGUGGCGAAGGCGGCUGUCUGGUCUGCAACUGACGCUGAGGCUCGAAAGCAUGGGUAGCGAACAGGAUUAGAUACCCGAGUAGUC